CAGCCAUAUCAUAUUGAAACACUGGUUUCCAUCUGAUCACUAAAGUUAAGCAAUGUCAAGCCUGUUCAGUACCUAGAUGGGUAACCACUUCAGACUAUCAGAUACUGUAA